GGCCUGCUAACCCGCUAGCUCUCCAGCCGGCUGGAGGGACGCGUCCAGUGCGUUCACUAGGUCCAGCCGCCGGCCCCCCUCGAAUCUGCUCGCGCUCGGCAGCGGCGGCGCGGAGGGCAGGAGGUGUCUGGUCAGCGGGUUGCGGAGGAUCGUGCGGGUAGCAAAGGGAGGGCGAGUGCCCCUGCAGCCGCAGACAACAACCAGAACAUGCAUCACUGUUAGAACCAUCACCCUGCAGCUAGCUUGGACACCAUUAAAAGGGCUCAUCAGCUGCAAACGGAUAGAAGUAUCUGGUAUUCGUGAAGACAGAGUUUUGGGGCUGCCACCUGGAGCUACGCCCUCCAGAAGCCCCUGCUUGGCCUCCCUGCACCCAACCCCACACCAAGCAGUCACAACUCGGGCUGUGUGUGGUGUUUCUUGGCAAUUGGAACGCAGACUCCUCCAGCGGCUCCACAGCCCCCUUGUCCUCAGUGAGCAGAAGACCACAGAAGCUGGCUCCUGAAGAGGCUGUCCAAGCGAUAGAGCUCCUCCUUGGCUCUGCUUAGCACAUUUACCACACAGGAGUGCUGGAUGUUCCUCAUUCCUGCUCACUACCCACGGGGACUGUAGAGGGAUUUGUCAGGCCCCAUUUCACCAAGGGCCACCCUGUAAGGAUCUCCACAGGAGGCCGCCCAUAGAGAGAAGGGGCCUGCCUGGGUUCUCCACUGCCUUAAGGCCUACGUGGACACCCUCCAGGGCUGAGGGGAUCAAAACCUUUUCACCUACCCGUGAUCCACAUUAUCAGCUGCAAAGUUCUGCCUCCGAGUUUGUGUUAUUUUGUUUGUUUUUUUGUUUUGUUUUGUUUUGUUUUUGGUAGAAAAAGUUUUAACUGCUUCUUCCAUUCCUGUAGUAACUAGAGGGCUACUCGGGAUUUCUUUUUGCUUCUUGAGUCAAUUUUGGUAAGUUAUCGAUUUCUAGGAAUCAGUCCAUUUUAUCUGCGUUCUCGAAUUUAUUGGCAUAAAGUUCCCUUUUUAAAAAAUCCUCUGCUGUAUAUAAUCUGUAACUAUGUCUCCUUUUUCAUUGCUGAUAUUGGUUAUUUGUGCCUUCUCACUUUUUUUCUUGAUCAAUCUCA